AGAAAUGGAAAAUGCUAGAGAAUUUUUGGCGCCCGAGAGAAAAUCUGCAUUUCAAGUGAGAUGAUAUCGGUAUUCCUUUUCCAAGGAGCAGAACGACUCUGCUCUAUCACACUGAAAUCUACUGCUUAAAUAAGUGAAAUAAAGGACUAGAGUUCUCCCCACCUCGAGUGAACAUCCAAGUUGACGCAAUUAGCUUUUAUUUGGACGAUUAUGGACCAUGGACCAAAACUCUCAACAGUAGUUUUUCCACCAUACACUUGGCCACCUCUAGUCCUCAUCAUCUGGUCUCACCUUACACUAUCAAUUCGCGAAGGACGCAAUACUAAGG